GUGUCAGCAGCCGCGGUAAUACAGAGGGCUCGAGCGUUAAUCGGAAUCACUGGGCUUAAAGCGUGCGUAGGCGGAUGCAAAGGCACCUUGUGAAAUCCCUCGGCUCAACCGAGGAAUUGCUUGGUGAACCAUGCAUCUUGAGGCAGGUAGGGGUGGCUGGAACGAUAGGUGGAGCGGUGAAAUGCGUAGAUAUCUAUCGGAACGCCAAAGGAGAAGUCAGGCCACUGGGCCUGUCCUGACGCUGAGGCACGAAAGCGUGGGGAGCAAACGGGAUUAGAAACCCCCGUAGUCC
rnacentral:rRNA from 1 species